AUGAGUAAAUUCAAGCAAUGUGAAUUCUCACUUAUUCCUCGAGGCCAAGUCGGUUAUGCAACAAAAUUAGCAACAGAAUUGGUAGGUACCAAGAAGAGAGAGACCUGCGCCAUCUGUUUGGAAGACACUGAUCUUUCUAAGAUUUACGCAGUUGAAGGUUGUGCACAUCGGUUUUGCUUCUCCUGCAUGAAAGAGCAUGUGAAAAUUAAACUACUUGGUGGAGCGCUUCCAGCUUGUCCACAAGAUGGUUGCACUACCAAACUAACUAGAUCAUGGGUGCAACGUAUCAGGGAAGGACAAAUCCCUCCUACUCAGAAGAUCUAUUGCCCGUACUCCAAGUGUUCAGCCUUGAUGUCUUUGAGAGAAUGUAUCAAAUGCAAGGGUUUGUUCUGCAUCAGCUGUAAGGUCCCAUGGCAUGCUGGGAUGAGUUGCUGUGACUACAAGAGAAAGUAUCCUCACGUUCGUCCAGAAGAUGCCAAGCUGCAGAACCUUGCACAGCAGCGGUCGUGGCGCAAGUGUGUCAAAUGCAACCACAUGAUUGAACUCGCAGAGGGUUGCUACCAUAUAACUUGCGUGUGCGGCUAUGAAUUUUGCUACACCUGUGGGAAAGAAUGGAAGGACAAGAAGGCGACUUGCUCCUGCCGGCUGUGGGAUGAACGCAAUAUAAUCCAUGAUCGAGGAGGACGGCGGUGA
rnacentral:rRNA from 1 species